rnacentral:rRNA from 1 species
UAACGGCGAGUGAAGCGGCAACAGCUCAAAUUUGAAAUCUGGCUCUUUUAGAGUCCGAGUUGUAAUUUGCAGAGGGCGCUUUGGCUUUGGCAGCGGUCCAAGUUCCUUGGAACAGGACGUCACAGAGGGUGAGAAUCCCGUACGUGGUCGCUGGCUAUUGCCGUGUAAAGCCCCUUCGACGAGUCGAGUUGUUUGGGAAUGCAGCUCUAAAUGGGAGGUACAUUUCUUCUAAAGCUAAAUAUUGGCCAGAGACCGAUAGCGCACAAGUAGAGUGAUCGAAAGAUGAAAAGCACUUUGGAAAGAGAGUCAAACAGCACGUGAAAUUGUUGAAAGGGAAGCGCUUGCAGCCAGACUUGCUUACAGUUGCUCAUCCGGGUUUCUACCCGGUGCACUCUUCUGUAGGCAGGCCAGCAUCAGUUUGGGCGGUAGGAUAAAGGUCUCUGUCACGUACCUCCUUUCGGGGAGGCCUUAUAGGGGAGACGACAUACUACCAGCCUGGACUGAGGUCCGCGCAUCUGCUAGGAUGCUGGCGUAAUGGCUGUAAGCGGCCCGUCUUGAAACACGGACCAAGGAGUCUAACAUCUAUGCGAGUGUUUGGGUGUCAAGCCCGAGCGCGUAAUGAAAGUGAACGGAGGUGGGAACCCGCAAGGGUGCACCAUCGACCGAUCCUGAUGUCUUCGGAAGGAUUUGAGUAAGAGCAUGGCUGUUGGGACCCGAAAGAUGGUGAACUAUGCUUGAAUAGGGUGAAGCCAGAGGAAACUCUGGUGGAGGCUCGCAGCGGUUCUGACGUGCAAAUCGAUCGUCAAAUUUGGGCAUAGGGGCGAAAGACUAAUCGAACUAUCUAGUAGCUGGUUCCUGCCGAAGUUUCCCUCAGGAUAGCAGUAACGUAUUCAGUUUUAUGAGGUAAAGCGAAUGAUUAGAGGCCUGGGGGUUGAAACAACCUUCACCUAUUCUCAAACUUUAAAUAUGUAAGAAGUCCUUGUUACUUAAUUGAACGUGGACAGUUGAAUGAAACGUUAUUAGUGGGCCAUUUUUGGUAAGCAGAACUGGCGAUGCGGGAUGAACCGAACGAGGGGUUAAAGUGCCGGAAUAUACGCUCAUCAGACACCACAAAAGGUGUUGGUUCAUCUAGACAGCAGGACGGUGGCCAUGGAAGUCGGAAUCCGCUAAGGAGUGUGUAACAACUCACCUGCCGAAUGAACUAGCCCUGAAAAUGGAUGGCGCUCAAGCGUGUUACUUAUACCCCUCCGCUGGGGCAAAAUUUACGCCCCAGCGAGUAGGCAGGCGUGGAGGUCCGUGACG